CGCGACGGCGGCGGAGACGCGACUGAGGCCCGGCGGGCGGGCGGCCGGCCGCGGGAGCCCAGUGAUGCUGCCCAGGCUGUGAACAGGGAAGGCGGCACUGUGGGGGCUGCCGGCAGCCGAGGCAGGAGAGAGACAUGUGGACACGUGGUCUCUAUGGCCCCCGCCUACCAGAUCCUCCACUGGGCCCUCGCCCUGGGGCUGGGCCUCACGUUCGAGGUCACACACGCCUUCCAGUCUCAAGGUAGGGCUGGUCCAGGGCCCUCGGUGGGGAGGGAGCGAGGAGCUAUGGAGGGAUCAGAUGAGUUCCUGUCCAGCCUGGAGAACUAUGAGAUCGCCUUCCCCACCCGAGUGGAUGACAACGGGGCACUGCUGGCCUUCUCGCCCCCUGCCUCCCGGAGGCAGCGUCGGGGCACAGGGCCUGCAGCAGAGUCCCGUCUCUUCUACAAGGUGGCUGCACCCAGCACCCACUUCCUGCUGAACCUGACCCACAGCUCGCGCCUUCUAGCAGGACAUGUCUCUGUGGAGUACUGGACACGGGAGGGCCUGGCUUGGCAGAGGGCAGCCCGGCCCCACUGCCUCUAUGCUGGCCACCUGCAGGGCCAGGCUGACAGCUCUCAUGUGGCCAUCAGCACCUGUGGGGGCCUGCAUGGCCUGAUUGUGGCGGACGAGGAAGAAUACUUGAUUGAGCCUCUACAAAGUGGAACCAAACGGGGCCAGGGCCCGGAGGAGGGUGGCCCCCAUGUGGUGUACAAGCGUUCCUCCCUGCGUCACCCCCACCUGGACACAGCCUGUGGAGUGAGAGAUGAGAAACCGUGGAAGGGGCGGCCAUGGUGGCUGCGCACCCUGAAGCCGCCACCUGCCAGGCCCCUGGGCAAUGAGACGGAGCGCAGCCAGCUGGGCCUGAAGCGCUCCGUCAGCCGAGAGCGCUACGUGGAGACCCUGGUCGUGGCCGACAAGAUGAUGGUGGCCUACCACGGGCGCCGAGACGUGGAACAGUACGUGCUAGCCAUUAUGAACAUUGUUGCCAAACUUUUCCAAGACUCGAGUCUGGGAAACAUCGUUAAUAUCCUGGUAACACGGCUCAUCCUGCUCACAGAGGACCAGCCCACUUUGGAGAUCACCCACCAUGCCGGGAAGUCACUGGACAGCUUCUGUAAGUGGCAGAAAUCCAUUGUGAACCAUAGCGGCCAUGGCAACGCCAUUCCGGAGAACGGUGUGGCCAACCAUGACACAGCGGUGCUCAUUACGCGCUAUGACAUCUGCAUCUACAAGAACAAACCCUGCGGCACACUAGGUCUGGCCCCUGUGGGGGGGAUGUGUGAGCGCGAGAGAAGUUGCAGCAUCAAUGAGGAUAUUGGCCUGGCCACGGCGUUCACCAUUGCCCAUGAGAUCGGACACACGUUUGGCAUGAACCACGACGGCGUAGGGAACAGCUGCGGGGCCAGGGGCCAGGACCCAGCGAAGCUCAUGGCUGCCCACAUUACCAUGAAGACCAACCCAUUUGUGUGGUCAUCCUGCAGCCGCGACUACAUCACCAGCUUCCUGGACUCAGGUCUGGGGCUCUGCCUGAACAACCGCCCCCCCAGACAGGACUUCGUGUACCCAACCGUGGCGCCCGGCCAGGCCUACGAUGCCGAUGAGCAGUGCCGCUUCCAGCAUGGAGUCAAAUCGCGUCAGUGUAAAUACGGGGAGGUCUGCAGCGAGCUGUGGUGUCUGAGCAAGAGCAACCGGUGCAUCACCAACAGCAUCCCGGCCGCAGAGGGCACGCUGUGCCAGACACACACCAUCGACAAGGGGUGGUGCUACAAGCGGGUGUGCGUCCCCUUCGGGUCACGACCUGAGGGCGUGGAUGGGGCUUGGGGCCCGUGGACCCCGUGGGGAGACUGCAGCCGGACUUGCGGCGGUGGCGUGUCCUCCUCCAGCCGUCACUGCGACAGCCCCAGGCCAACCAUCGGGGGCAAGUACUGCCUGGGCGAGAGACGGCGGCAUCGCUCUUGCAACACUGAUGACUGUCCCCCUGGCUCCCAGGACUUUAGGGAAAUGCAGUGCUCUGAAUUUGACAGCGUCCCCUUCCGUGGAAAAUUCUACACAUGGAAAACAUACCGAGGAGGGGGCGUGAAGGCCUGCUCGCUCACCUGCCUAGCAGAAGGUUUCAACUUCUACACGGAGAGGGCAGCAGCCGUGGUGGACGGGACACCUUGCCGCCCAGACACGGUGGACAUUUGUGUCAGCGGCGAGUGCAAGCAUGUGGGCUGCGACCGGGUCCUGGGCUCCGACCUGCGGGAGGACAAGUGCCGAGUGUGUGGGGGUGAUGGCAGUGCCUGCGAAACCAUUGAAGGGGUCUUCAGCCCAGCCUUGCCUGGGGCUGGGUAUGAGGAAGUCGUCUGGAUCCCCAAAGGCUCCAUCCACAUUUUCAUCCAGGACCUGAACCUCUCCCUCAGUCACUUGGCCCUGAAGGGGGACCAAGAGUCCCUGCUGCUGGAGGGGAUGCCCAGGACCCCUCAGCCCCACCGCCUGUCCCUGGCUGGAACCACCUUUCAGCUGCGACCUGGGCCAAAUCAGACACAGAGUCUAGAAGCCCUGGGACCCAUCAAUGCAUCUCUCAUCGUCAUGGUGCUGGCCAGGACAGAGCUACCUGCCCUUCGCUACCGAUUCAACGCACCCAUCAUCCGUGAUGCACUGCCCCCCUACUCCUGGCACUACUCACCUUGGACCAAGUGCUCUGCCCAAUGUGCCGGUGGCAGCCAGGUGCAGGCCGUGGAAUGCCGCAAUCAGCUGGACAGCUCGGCCGUGGCCCCCCACCACUGCAGCGCCCAGAGCAAGCUUCCCAAGAGGCAGCGGGCCUGCAACACCGAGCCCUGCCCACCUGACUGGGUUGUGGGGAACUGGUCGCGCUGCAGCCGCAGCUGUGAUGCCGGCGUGCGCAGCCGCUCGGUGGUAUGUCUGCGCCGCGUGUCCGCCGCGGAGGAGAAGAUACUGGACGACAACUCCUGCCCGCAGCCGCGCCCGCCCAUCCUGGAGGCCUGCCAUGGCCCCACCUGUCCGCCGGAGUGGGCCGCCCUGGACUGGUCGGAGGGACCAGCAGCACCUCUCGGCUCCCUGUGCGGCGGGGAAGGGCAGGGUGGCCGCCUACUAAGCAUGAAACGCCCCUCCAAUGCAGUGCACCCCCAGCUGCGGGCCAGGCCUCCGCCACCGCGUAGUCCUUUGCAAGAGCGCAGACCACCGUGCCACGCUGCCCGCCGCGCACUGCCCGCCCGCAGCCAAGCCGCCAGCCACCAUGCGCUGCAACUUGCGCCGCUGUCCCCCUGCCCGCUGGGUGGCAGGGGAGUGGGGCGAGUGCUCUGUGCAGUGCGGCCUCGGACAGCAACAGCGCGCCGUGCGCUGCUCCAGCCACACAGGCCAGCCGUCGCGCGAGUGUACUGAGGCCCUGCGCCCCCCAGCCACGCAGCAGUGCGAGGCCAAGUGCGACAGCGCGCCCCCCGGGGACAGCCCGGAAGAGUGCAAGGAUGUGAACAAGGUCGCCUACUGCCCCCUAGUGCUCAAAUUUCAGUUCUGCAGCCGAGCCUACUUCCGCCAGAUGUGCUGCAAAACCUGCCAUGGCCGCUAGGGGACAAGCAGCCCCUGAGCCACAGCUGAGCGCCAGCUUGGGGGUGGAGGGGACCGGCUGCAGCUGGCCAGUCUGAAGGAGCCCGCCAGGGCAGGAGCUGGGAGUGAAGGGUGAGAUGGAGCGGAAAUUAUUUAUUGGAAACCCAUGAAGGGCCCUGGCUGGGAGAUGGAGAGGGGCUGGCCAUCCCCAGGGCCCCUCCUCAGCUCCUUUCCCAGUUCACAGUGAGACCCCCUCCGGGUGGGUUGAGAAGGGAACGACUGUUUGACUUAGCGCUCUUUACACCCACCCCUAGGGAGCCCCCUAAAAUCCCCCACCUUUGGUUGGAAUACAUACUGUGAAGAGUGGGGGUGGGGAAGGGGGUCAGCCAGUGCCCUGAUCCCCAACACUGCCCUUUCCCUCGACUCUGGUCUGGAAGGGGUCUAUGUCCACCAUGGGAAAAGGGAAUUAGCACGACUUCCUAGCACCCUCCCCUUGACAACACCAGCUACAGGGGUGGGUAAGAGGUGGGAAGAUCCACCCAACCUCUGCCCGGUUGCUCACCCCCAUCAUGGUGCUACAGGCCCUGCCCUGGGGCCCGCACACCCCUUGCCAGGAAGUGCUACAUCAAUAAAGUUCUGUCUUGUGUA